GGCGAGGCGGUGAAAGAAAGACGAAGAAAACGAAGUGGUACAGGAAAAACAAAGAAAAUGGGGUGAUGCAUGAAAGACGAAGAAAACGGGGUGAUGCAGGAAAGACGAAGAAAACGAGGUGGUACGGGAAAGACGAAGAAAACGAAGUGGUGCGAGAAAGACGAAGAAAACGAAGUGGUGCAGGGAAGACGAAAAGAAAACGAGGUGUAUGAAAGACGAAGAAAACGAGGUGGUGCAUGAAAAACGAAGAAAACGAAGUGGUACAAGAAAGACGAAGAAAAUGAAGCAGUGCGUGAAAGACAAUGAAAAUUGGGUGGUGCAGGAAAGAAGAAGAAAACGAGGUAGUGCAGGAAACACGAAGAAAACGAGAAAAGUGCAAAGGUCACAGCCAUUCUUACAUUUCUGUGGAUGCCUUACUCGAGUUAUCACUGUUGUCAUUACUCUUAUAGUACUGAAACUGGAUUUUUUUUUUUAUCAUGAUUAGUCUGAUUCUCCGGGAUGUUUUCGUAUUAAUGAUACAAACAUUCCUGUCGCUUAAGUGUCAUUAGAAUCAAGAAAACACCUUUGAAAACUAUCAUUGCUAAAAAUAAUCGAGUUAGGACGCCUUUGUGAUUAAGAAAGUGGCAUAUUCAAGUUGUCUGAAAGCAAAAUUAAGAUCAAGACGCAAAUCCGUACCCCUAUCUCAGCAGGGAAUAUACUCUCAUUACCCAGCCUGUCUCUCCCACACACAGCACUGGGACGCUCACACUGUAACACAUUCGCCUUUCCGCUCCACCACCACACUGCAGCUCCAUUACAUCUCAUCCACUGCAAUUCCACAACACCACGCACCACUGCAACACCACAGUGACGACACCACAGAACAGAACACCGUAAACACUGACACCAAAGACACUACAAAAGUUGAAAGAUAAAUUUUAAAAUAUAACACCACGGCAACUAAAGGAUACCACAAAAUGUUGUUACUUAAACACCAGAAAAUAAAGACAACACCACAAAGGUUACUAAAACACCACUGAAACUCGAUAUAAUAUUAUAAAAAAAGUAACCAAAACCGCACAUAAAUAAAAAAAACAUAAAAGUUAUUUAAUAUUAUUUAAAAAAGUAACCAAAACCGCACAUAAAUAAAAAAAAACGUAAAAGUUAUUUAAACGCCAGAAAAAAAAAAAACAGGACAACUAUUAAAACACCCCAGUAAUUCAAAACAAUACCACGAAAGUUACUAAAACACCAAAGAAAUAACAAGACACCAGAGAGAGAGAGAGAGAGAGAGAGAGAGAGAGAGAGAGAGAGAGAGAGAGAGAGAGAGAGAGAGAGAGAGAGAGAGA